CACCAAACACAUCUAUCUUAUUUCUGCAUUAAAAAAAAUUGCAAAAACUAUUUUUCUUUUUUGGGAUUAAUUCCAUUUGUUCAUCACCAUGACCAUACCUGAAAAAAUGGAGAAGCCUCACGUCGCCUUCCUCCCCAGCCCCGGCAUGGGACACAUUACUCCGCUUUUCGAAUUCGCCAAACGCCUAGUCAUCCACCACGGCUUCCACGUCAGCUUCUUCGUCAUCACCACCGGAGCUUCCGCUGCUCAGAACGAACUUUUCCGACCGGAGAAUCUCCCGGCCGAUUUCACCAUCGUCGAAAUCCACCCGGUGGAAAAUAUCUCCUCGUUUUUCACCGACGAUAUGAAAGUAGUCACGCAAUUGUGUAUCAUGGUCCGCGAAUCACUGAAACAUCUCCUUUCACUCUUAAUGGAAAAACGCCCAAAAGCUUUAAUCAUCGAUUUGUUCUGUACUGACGCUUUUGAGAUUUGCGAAAAGCUUUCGAUUCCUGUUUACUCUUUUUUCACUGCUUCUACUAUUUUAAUGGCGUUCUCUUUGUACUUACCGACGCUUGAUAGGGAAGUUGAAGGCGAAUUUGUUGAUCUUCCUGAACCUAUUCAAACUCCGGGAUGUACCCCAAUUUUCCCUCACGAUAUCCUCGAUCAGGUGAAAGACAGGAAGAACGACGAGUACAAGUGGUAUUUGCUUAACGUGAGCAGGUUGCCAUUAGCAGCGGGGAUAUUUGUGAACAGUUGGGAUGAUCUUGAACCUGUAUCCCUUAAAGCUCUUAGAGAAAAUUUGUUUUUCCAAAAAAAUACCUCUUCCUCCUGUUUAUACAAUCGGGCCGUUAAUCAAACAAGAUGAAGUUGUUACAGGAAAGGAUGCAGAGAUUUUAGCUUGGCUGGAUGAUCAGCCCCCUGAUUCUGUUCUUUUUGUGGUCUUUGGUAGUGGCGGCACCUUGACGAGUGAACAACUUACUGAGUUAGCUUGGGGUCUCGAAAUGAGUCAACAAAGGUUCAUUUUAGUGGCGCGCAAACCAAGUGAUGCUAGUGCAUCAGCAGCUUUUUUCAACGUGGGGAGCGAUGAGAAUGACCCAUUACUGUACUUGCCUGAAGGAUUCGUUAAGAAAACAGAAGGGAGGGGUUUAGUGGUCCCAUCAUGGGCCCCACAAACAUCAAUUCUCAACCACCCAUCAACCGGAGCAUUUCUGUCACAUUGUGGAUGGAAUUCGACUUUAGAAAGCAUAAUUCAUGGUGUGCCUAUAAUAGCAUGGCCACUUUACGCGGAGCAGAGGAUGAACGCCACCCUCUUAGCGGAGGAGGCCGGGGUGGCUUUAAAGUUCUCGAAAGAUCCUGGGGAAGAGCUUGUUGAUCGGAAUGAAAUUGAGAAAAAUGUGAGGAUUGUUAUGGAAGGAGGAAAAGGGAAAGCUAUUAGGAUGAGAGCCAAAGAGCUAAAAGAAAGUGCAAAAAUUGCACUUAACAGCGGAGGAUCGUCUUAUGAGUCGCUUUGUAGUAUUGUUCAGAUUUGGAAAUCUCAGUGACUCUCUUGUUGAAAUAAUAUUUACUACUUGUUUUGCACGUGUUUUAAGAAAUCAUAAAUAAAAUAUUUAUUUUUUUGUUA